UACAGAGGGGGCAAGCGUUGUUCGGAAUUACUGGGCGUAAAGGGCGCGUAGGCGGCCCGCUAAGUCGAACGUGAAAUCCCCGGGCUCAACCCGGGAACUGCGUCCGAUACUGGCGGGCUUGAAUCCGGGAGAGGGAUGUGGAAUUCCAGGUGUAGCGGUGAAAUGCGUAGAUAUCUGGAGGAACACCGGUGGCGAAGGCGGCAUCCUGGACCGGUAUUGACGCUGAGGCGCGAAAGCCAGGGGAGCAAACGGG
rnacentral:rRNA from 1 species